CCAUCCUGACGGCAGGAGCCCCAGAGACAGCAGCAUUUAUGGCUGAUGAAGUCCUGGAGUCCAUCCCUGGCCUCAGCCCUGUCCAGUACACCCUCAAGCACUACUUGCUCUUCUUAGACAAAAUCCAGAAUUGUGCUGAAAAGUUAAACAAAGGUGUUUCUCCGGCGGAAACGUCGUUCCAGAGAGGCGACCGGCGUCAUGCGCUCUGGGGGCGCCAAGCCAGCCCCGCCUGCCCUCCCCUCCCCUCUCCCUCCCCAGCCGUGUCUGCAAUUGUGGGCACUUCCAGGGCGAGUAAGUACGUGUUGCAGAAGGAACCGGGGCCGGGCGCGGGGCUAAGGGGGGGGCGGGACCUGGGCCCCUAGGAGGUCGUAGGCGAAGAUGUUCCAGAAGACGGCGAAGACCAGGAAGGUGGCGUAGGAGAGGAGGACCACCCACCAGCCGCACUGGUCCUGGAGGUUCUCCUCGUAUCUGCGCAGGAUGGUCAGGCCCAUGCUGAUGCCCACGAUGGCCCCGGCACAGGUGAGCCAUGAA
rnacentral:lncRNA from 11 species